GACGAACGCUGGCGGCGUGCUUAACACAUGCAAGUCGAACGAAGUGGCGAACGGGUGAGUAACGCGUAAUCAACUGCCCUUCAGAGGGGGACAACAGUUGGAAACAGCUGCUAAUACCGGAUAGUCAUGGAUGACUCGCGGCCUAUCAGCUUGUUGGUGAGGUAACGGCUCACCAAGGCGACGACGGGUAGCCGGCCUGAGAGGGCGACCGGCCACAUUGGGCUGAGAUACGGCCCAAACUCCUACGGGAGGCAGCAGUGGGGAAUAUUGCACAAUGGGCGAAAGCCUGAUGCAGCAACGCCGCGUGCGGGAAGACGGCCUUCGGGUUGUAAACCGCUUUCAGCCAUGACGCGGUAGUGGCAGAAGAAGCGCCGGCUAACUCCGUGCCAGCAGCCGCGGUAAUUC
rnacentral:rRNA from 1 species